rnacentral:lncRNA from 1 species
CAAUUUUUUAGAAUCAUACAUGGUUUGACACUUUUAUGAGAGUUAAAAAGAGAUGGGUACAUAAAUAUGACAACACGGUUGAGUUUCGUCUGUCUUUCUGUCAUUUCGCUCCAUCAGUGGCGUGACGGUGGUGUGGUGUUUUUUAUCCAAAAUUAUAAAAAAAGUUAUUUUGUGUAUUUUAAUUUAAAUUUUAAUUUGUAAUAUACGUGGUAAUAUCGAUAAUAUACAAUGUAGGGGCGUUUGCACCAAGUUUUUUAAGCAAAACUUAACACUAUGUUUAGCUUAUUUUCCUGAACUAUGCUUUAAUCUAACUUGAAUUUAUAUUUAAAUUAAGCGGUCAAAUUUCCGGGCUAGUGGCCACUUAACCUGACUAAGGCACAAAAAAUUUGUUUUACGAGGAAGUAUAAUUAUUUUUAUUAUAAUCCUUUGAGAAAGCUAAAAAGUGUAUUAUGAUACCUCUACGUAAGUUCGAUGAUUACUUUUGAUAUCUUAGAGACGUCGAUCAGUAGGUAUAUUCAUUGAAAAUGGAUUUCCUCAAGAGUGGAUGUAAGGAAAAAUCAUAUUUCCAAGAAAUGAACCUCCUUAAGUCUUUAGGACAGAGGGACAGAGACUUUUAAAUGACACUGUAAUAUAUAUCCUCGGUUUAAUUGAACAAAAUCUAGAAUAUCAAAAUGAGAGUUUCAGAGCAGGAACAAUUUUAUAGUAUAUUUGGGUUUCCUUGGAUUAUAGGGAUAGUUGAUGGAACACAAUGUAAGAAAACAUUCACCUGGGGGUAAUGAUGGAGAGGUAUUUAGAAAUAGAAAAGCAUUAUUUUCUCCGACAUUUAAAUUACUGGAAAUGCUAGUCUUAAAACUAUAGACAAUAGACAUGAUUGCUUGUUGGCAUGGGUCUGUGCAUGAAGCCACCAUUUUUUGGAUAUUAAGGACGUAUUAAGGACCCGCUUGGAGACUGGUGACUAUUCAAAUUAAAUCCUGCUUGGUGAUAGUGCAUAUGUAUUGAGGGGAUAUAUGCAGAAAGAGAGCUGAAGAACUAUAUUGCUGAAGAAAUGUUUCAGAAUUAUCGGAAUAUGGAAACGCCACUUUCCAAUAUGUUUUAUGGUAUAAGACCAAAAU